rnacentral:rRNA from 1 species
AGCAGCCGCGGUAAUUCCAGCUCCAAUAGCGUAUAUUAAAGUUGUUGCAGUUAAAAAGCUCGUAGUUGAAUUUCGAGAUCGGUUUAUUGGUCGUGCUAUUGUACGUACUGGUAUUACCGGUUUCUCCUUUCUGACGAACCUUAAUGCCAUUAAUUUGGUGUUUUGGGAAAUCAGGACUGUUACUUUGAAAAAAUUAGAGUGUUUAAAGCAGGCUCACGCUUGAAUACAUUAGCAUGGAAUAACGGAAUAGGACGUUUGAUUCUAUUUUGUUGGUUUCUAGGAUCGACGUAAUGAUUAAUAGGGAUAGUUGGGGGCAUUAGUAUUCAAUUGUCAGAGGUGAAAUUCUUGGAUUUAUUGAAGACUAACUACUGCGAAAGCAUUUGCCAAGGAUGUUUUCAUUAAUCAAGAACGAAAGUUAGGGGAUCGAAGACGAUCAGAUACCGUCGUAGUCUUAACCAUAAACUAUGCCGACUAGGGAUCGGAUGAUGUUAAUUUUUUAAUGUACUCAUCCGGCGCCUUACGGGAAACCAAAGUGUUGGGUUCG